rnacentral:rRNA from 1 species
ACACUCCUACGGGAGGCAGCAGUGGGGAAUAUUGGACAAUGGGCGCAAGCCUGAUCCAGCCAUGCCGCGUGAGUGAUGAAGGCCCUAGGGUUGUAAAGCUCUUUCACCGGUGAAGAUAAUGACGGUAACCGGAGAAGAAGCCCCGGCUAACUUCGUGCCAGCAGCCGCGGUAAUACGAAGGGGGCUAGCGUUGUUCGGAUUUACUGGGCGUAAAGCGCACGUAGGUGGACUAUUAAGUCAGGGGUGAAAUCCCGGGGCUCAACCCCGGAACUGCCUUUGAUACUGGUAGUCUUGAGUUCGAGAGAGGUGAGUGGAAUUCCGGGUGUAGAGGUGAAAUUCGUAGAUAUUCGGAGGAACACCAGUGGCGAAGGCGGCUCACUGGCUCGAUACUGACGCUGAGGUGCGAAAGCGUGGGGAGCAAACAGGAUUAGAUACCCUAGUAGUCCC